GGUUCAUCCCACCCAGACCACAGAGACUGAAAAUAAGAAAGGGGUGAGGCCUAAGGGACAAUCAGGAUGUUUUUCAGAGAGAAGUGUGGAUGCUGGACAGGAAGAACCACAGAUACCAGAUACGGGACAUACUUUAUUCAGCUGGGUGCUGAAAAAGAAUCUUGGAAAUUAGGAAACUGAAUGAGGCCUCAUUUCACACUCAGAAUGUGGGUUGCAAUAGUCACUUCCUCUGCUGCUGGGAAAGAAAGAAUUAUACUACCUUUUGAAUUUUGGAUUAAGGAGAGAGGUGUUGGCUUGUCAAACUACCAUGUAUUCCUCAAGACAUAUUUUUGUGGCUUUAUAAAAUUCAAUAUAUAUGUCUAAAUUCAAAAAUAUUUUGUUGCAAUCUGGCCCUUGGACAAACUGAGGCCCUAGCAACUGAUGUUUAUGGCUUUCCGUAGAACCUUUCAGAUAAAAUUUACACAGCAUUUUACUGCAGCUAUUUCACACAAAGCAGAGGAUUUUGCCACAAAACUGAAAGAAAAAAGAAACUGCAUUCUUAAAUUUUUCAUAAAUCAAAAGGUAUAAAAAUAUCUACCUAAACGAUAAAGGAGAUGAGAAACCCCACCCAUGAUGGGAAGAAAGCCUAUUUCAGUUUUGCCUUUACUUCAAGUUCUUUUUUCCAUAUCUGGAAUGCAAUCAGAAUUUUAAUCUUGCCUUGGGUUCCUCCUGGAUUUGGGGAGAAGACAAAACCUGAAAAUCUCUAAUCUGCAUGUGUUCAGCUGCGUAUCUUCUGGAUACGGAAGGAUCACACUGCACAGAGUGCUGGACUUGCAGGAGCCCCGCUUCUCAACCUCCAUCGCUUUAUGAAUGAAUUCACCAGAAAGAAAAGGAAGAAUCAACACUUUCAGAGAUGGAGCCUGUUGAGCCACAGUACCAACUAGUCAAUGCUGAAUCGACUUCUCCCUUUCUACAUUGCCUGAGAGAAGUCAUUGGGGAAUACUCUGUACACGAAUUUUCACUGUUGGGGAAAACAGAGAGUCAAGGGAUUGGAUUGUGGAUUGCAUUGGUGGUUUUCCUCAGUUUCCUCAUCUUCUCCACAAGUUUCUACAUAUCGAAUGCAGAGCAGCCCUUCUUCAAAGGACCUCCUACGGAAGCUGCUAAGGAACUCAGUCUGUAGCUCUGCGUGGAGCCAUGUGUAAACACUGAACUGAGACCUGCCACCUCCUACUACCUAAGGGCCCAUUUUCAUCUGAUAUCAUCCCCCAGAAACAAACUCAUGAUGACUUCCAUGUUUUUUUUAGAUUAGAUACAUGGAGAAUUUUCCUUUCCCUUAGAAUUAAAAUCCUGCAUUCUAAUUUUCAAGUGAUGUUCCCAGGAGAAAUGAUAAUGCAGCAAUGGACAAGAACAGGAACAAGAGACAGUCUUACCAUCUUCUUACAAUUUAUAGAUGGGACAGUGGAAAGAGAAGCCACAUCGGGGUUGGGCAUGCAGAGACCUGGUCCUAAAUCUGUGUGACUUUUGCGAAAUCCUUUUGCCUCACAGAGCUCUAGGUUCUUAUCUGUCAAACAGGAACCAGACCAUCAGAUCCGUAGAGAUCCAACCAAUGAAGGAGACUUCGAAAACUUCACAUUGCCGUGUCAAUGUGAGGUUGCUGGAUGGUUAUGACAAGAAAUCACAUUAAAUUCACUGGGGUAACAUUGUUCAUGAAACGGGAUAAUGUGUUUCAGCGAUGAACCACCCAUGGCCUUACUACAGACAUAUUUCCACUUUGAAAAUGUGUGUGAGUGUACAUGUCUGUGUGUGAGGCAGAGAUUAGAAAGUGGUAAAACUUUUUCGUCUCUACAGAACUCUCUCCAAGUGCACACCCAUAGAUUGGUUUGCUUGUGGAAUCCUAGCAUAUCAGAAAUGAAGGAAUCUCAGAAAUUGUUUUCAUCAAACACCUCAUAUGCAGAAGGCAAAAUGAAGGUUCAGAGCAGAAAUGAUUUGUCCAAGGAUGCAACACUCAUCUGCAGCAGAGGGAAGCUGAGCUCUGCAGACCCACCUAGCACUGCAGAGGCAGCCCUCUAGGACAAGGCUUCAUAAAAAAGUGACUUUAUGAGUUGGCUCCAUAAAAAAGAUACAGAUUAAGAAAUUGUUUAAACAGUGAUCUCUAUAUAAUUACUCUUUUAUUUAAAAGUAUGGGCUGGGAGCGGUGGCUGACGCCUGUAAUCCCAGCACUUUGGGAGGCCGAUGUGAGCAGAUAACCUGAGGUCGGGAGUUAGAGACCAGCCUGACCAACAUGGAGAAACUCCGUCUCUACUAAAAAUACAAAAUUAGCAGGGUGUGGUGGUGCAUGCCUGUAAUCCCAGCUACUCGGGAGGCUGAGGCAGGAGAACUGCUUGAACCCAGGAGGCAGAGGUUGUGGUGAGCCGAGAUCGCGCCAUUGCACUCCAGCCUGGGCAACAAGAG
rnacentral:lncRNA from 1 species